UUAUUAGGUCCUUAAAAUAAUUAUUUGGGCUAUUAUUAUGAGUUAUAUUGAGUGUUUAUUAACACUUAUAUAAUAGUAAUAAUAGUUAGACUAUUAAUUUGUCGCGGUUAUCGUUAGACUAAACCCUAGUGGUAUUGAUACUAGGUUUUAUCGAAGGAAAAUUGUUUUGAGAGUAUCGAAGCGUUGUCCGAGUGCUGAGUCACCACCUUUUAGGUGAGUGCAUAGUUACUUUCAGCUUACACAUAGAUAUGAAGUAUUUUAUAUAAAUUACGCGCUAUGUGUGCAUAUUAUAUGAAUACUUGCUAUCUAUGCUGGGUGAACGAUUUUAUACACGUUUUAAAUGAUUUAAACUGUAUAUGUAUUUUAUAUCUACGAAAAUGUUGGGGUAAGACAUGGGUAGAUGUAGUAGAUGAAAUAUGAGUUGGAUGAUGAGUUAAGAGGUGAAAUAGACCGUGAGGUGAGGGUGAGAGGUGGACGAUGUGAGAAGCCUUUUUCCCAAAUGAUGGCCCCGUCAUUCAACAGAGUAUGAAUGACAACCACGGACUAUUCUAGACAGUCCAGUGGAACACUAGCAGGCUCGCAGCCUGUAGGUGUUGUGAACGACGUGUUCGUCGGUGUACUCUAAAAACUCAUUGAUAUGUAUUGCGAGUGGACUCUCGAAAACGAUAUUGUCAAUCAAACCCGGCAGAUGCGCCUAAAGGACUCUACCGGCAGAAGCGCCUAAUAGAUAACCUCAUAAUCCGGUAGAUGCGCCUAAAGGACUAUUCAGGCAGAUGCGCCCCAUAGAGAAUGUCACAAUUUUGGUAGCUGCGCCCUAGUGACAGAACUAGCAGAUUGUGCUUGACAGAUGUGUCAUUUACAACAAUGGAAUUCGUACCUAUUCCUUAGGAUACUCCUUAGGAAUGAAUGAACAAGAAAUAGCUGAUUCUUAGGGUAGAUCCUUAAGAAUAAAGAAGAUAAUGGGGAUGGGUAAUUGGGUUAACUGUUUGAUGAUUAAACAUAAUAAUUAUAUUAUUGUGGGUUGAAAACCCUAUGUACUCACCUGGUUUCCCAACCUAAUCCGCUCAGUUUGUUUAUAUCACAGGUGUCGAUAUGAAGUGAUAUUACGCUGAGAGAUUAAAGAGAUGUAGAUCACUAGUGUAAAUAAAUGUAAGUUUCGUUUAUGCUUAUGUUCCUGUAUUGACAAUGACAUUCCAAACGUUUUAAAAUGAAUAAAAUACGUAUCUUGAAAAUGUUUUGAUAACGUAUUUAUCGUAUUUUUCUGGAAACAAAUUCCGCAACAUUUUUAUGAAAAGAAGUACUCUGAUUUUUAUAAAGCAUAAACAAAAUCGGUCUUUUCUGGCCGUGAAAAUGGGGAUGUCACAGUUGGUAUUAGAGCAUUAGUUUAAGCAAAAUAGGAAUUUGUAAGAUUUAUAGACUUAAACUUAGAAUGAUAAGCGAUGAUUGUGAGAUGUGAGCACUAGCUUAUUUUAGGAAUUGUGCCUAAAAUGCUUUUAUGUGCUAAAUGCUUGUGCCUAAUAUGCUGUUAUUUGUUCGGAUCUAUGGUCUAUUGCCAACUGGAUCUGGAAUCCUUAUGUGUUUAGGAUUCUAAGCGUUUAACUACGAUAUUAGAACUAGCAUAUAAACGUUUCGGGGUGAUAAGGAUGAUUUAAACGUCAAUCCUAAAUAAAGAUCUAGAUUCGCCUUAUUUGGUGUAUAGAUCAAGAUGGCAAGGACCCGUAGGGAACCGAGAUUAGCCCCCAGUGAUUGAGCAAAUAUCGGUUGUGGUAGCCGCUGUUGAGCCAAUAACGAUGGCCGGAGUGCAAGCAAUGAUCCAGGCGAUGUUGGAUCGUCAAAUGGAGGAAACCAGACAUUUGAUCCAACAAAAUCAAGAGGAAGCGUCCAUACAGGUUGAACAGCCCGAGUUGAACGAAGGGCAGACUGAGGAGGGAAACUACAGUGGGACUGUUGGUCAAGCCAACCCACCGAUAGUUAGGAAAAACCACCAGGAUGGAGGAAAUGAUGGACGUGGAUGCAAAUACAAGGAUUUCAUGGCAUCCAAACCACCGAGUCUAUCUGGAAGCCCGACGCCGGUGGAAGUCAUGAACUGGAUCUCUGAGAUGGAGACGAUGUUUGAGAGUUGCGAGUGUAGCAACAGGCAGAAGACCACUCUCGCGGUUCCUCUGUUGAAAUCUGGAGUACUAAGCUGGUGGAAGCUACUGGCUGAUUCAAUGCCCAAAGGUGAAGCAAGCAAGAUGUCAUGGGAGGAUUUUCUGGUGCAGUUGAAAAUGCAAUACUGCUCUGAGCAGGAUCUUCUGGAAAUCAACAACGAAUUCCAUAAUCUGAAGAAGGGAAGAAUGAGCGUUACGGAAUACGCUGCAAGCUUUACUGAGAAAAUGAAGCUUGUUCCUCACCUCGUCCCAACUGAACUCUCCAAGGUUAACAAAUUUGCCCUCGGAUUACNCCAAUGGUCAAGCAAAAUACCACUCUGAAAGUCGCCAUCUGGGCUGCUAAAAAUGUGGAGACCCAGAUACGAGAGAAGGGUCUGGAGACAGCGGAGGUGGGUGAGAAAAGGAAAUUUGAAGGAUCUUCAAAUUCCAACGAGAAGAGAAAUUUCUCGAAGAAGUUCGAAAGAGGAGGAGGAAGUGAAGAAAGAUGGUGUGAAAAGUGCAAAAAGAAACACACUGGAAAAUACGGUGAGGAGGUGACUUGUUUCAAGUGUGGGAAGCAUGGGCAGUAUGCCAACGAAUGUAAAUUCAACAAAAGGGUGUGUUACGAAUGUAAUGAGGAAGGGCACUUCAAGCAAGACUGCCCAAAGAGAGAGGGGGCUAUAAAGCCAAAUGUGCCGCCAAAGCCAAAGGCGAGGGAAUUUCAAAUGAUCCUUGACGAAGCAGAUGACAAUGCAAGGAUUCAGGAGUGAAUGUUUGAUAUCCAAAGAUCGAGUUAUGAAGUAGUCGUGUAGAUAGUACCACAUGGUGUAGCCUAUUAGAGGCAUAGUAUAGGUUGAACUUGAACAAUUAUGUAAUCGUUUCAAGGAAUAAUAUAAAACCUUCAUUAUGUUAUCUAAUGUGUCAAGUUGUUAUGUGAUUUUCUUGUAUGAUGACUUGGGUGAACUGAGAUACAAUUCUCGGGACGAGUAUGAGUAGGUGUGAAAGGUAGUAGAGGCGUAUACUACCAGAAGCACAAGAGUCACACUUGGACCAGGUGNAGUAGGUGUGAAUGGUAGUAGAGGCCUAUACUACCGGAAGCACAGGACUCACACUUGGAUCAGGGAAAGUCACAAGGUUACCAAGAAACUAGUAAUUGAUUUCGUUUUAUUCAAGUAUGUCGUUACCAUUGUUUCGGUAAUGACUAAGAAGAUUGUUGUUAUCCCGACCCUAGUGGUCAUAUCACAUUGAGUCCGACUACGAUGAGUAGGUUACGUGGUUCAGAGAACCAAGUUUGAUGUAGCGUCCGACUUAAACCAAACGAUUGAAAUCAAAGCGAUCAAUAGAAGUAUCGCGCUCGUUGUUAAAGAAGUUGGUAGCUAGAAAUGCUACAUGUUAAAGUGUGAUUAUAUCACAUUAGAACAUGAAGGAAGGCAUAGUCUGUUUUAGAAUUUAACUCUAAGAGACCUGAGUCUAAACGUACUUCACAUGAUGAUAGGUCAUAAUUUGGAGUCUAACCUGAGGUAGAGAGCAGGUGCACGAUGGAGUACUACUUAUAGUCAAUGAGUCUAAGAGAUAGACUUGAAGGAAUAUAGAAAUUAUAAUUAUUACCUAGGAUGAAGAGAUGACGUAUGGAGUCAUUAUAUGAGCCCUGUUUCAUUGAUGAUUCUGGGACGUAAUCAUCCUAAGGGGGAGAUAAUUGUAACGCCCGCAGAUCCGGGCUAGUCAAUUUAGAGGCAAUAGGGGUCGAAAACGACUUUUCGACAAAAGAUUAUUUAGAAUAAAUAAUCUUAACCAAGUUGUAGAAUAUGUCACAAGGUUUCCGUACAUAUAAAGAACGCCGAAAUCCGAGUUAUAACGAAGAAGUUAUGACCCGUCGAAGUUUCGCGACGGAACCGGCACGACACCGGGAAGCGUAAAUAGUGAAUUUACGAUAGAGCGAGAUUUAGCCUUAGCAAUCUAAACAAAAGUCGUAGAAUAUGUUAAACUAAGAACAUCGAUAAAAAGAACGCCCAAAUCUGACUUCGUAUGAAGAAGUUAUGAUUUUUCGAAGUUUCGGCUUAGCAGUGUACAACCCGAAAUUCGAAUAAUAGACUCAGCGGGUUUUAGCCAACAUGACCAAAACGAGAAUCGAAGAUCUCAUUAAGAGUAGCGUAAUGAGAAAAAUAUGGACGAAAACGGAUGUCGGAUGAAGAAGUUAUGAGAAUUUAACGGACCAAUCCUGUCCCGGCCUAUUAAUAAUAUAACUUUUAAAAUAGAGCCAAAAUUAGCCAAUGGAGUCCAAACGAAAGUUGUAGAGUACAUUCCCACCUUCACGUGGAUAUAAAGAACGUCAAAAACGGAGCUCGUAUGCGAAAGUUAUGAUUUUUUGAAGUCAAGAAGGAAAAUUGUGAACAGAGAUGACGUGGCCAAAUCUCAGUCGUUGCUUGUUGACCAAGGAUUCGCUUCGGAUCUUGACGCGUCACCCUCGCAUUACGCCUAACGUCCGAGCUCAGAAUGCACCGCGUACGAAGAGUCUUCAUGUGGCCCGAGAACAGGCCGCGUUGCACCAUGCGAAGCUUGCCACCUGGAGUUCUGAUCCGAAGCUACGCCCCGCGUAGCUACUGAACGCCCAGCGUACCACCGAGGCUUCGCGCCUAUAAAAGUCAUGUGAAGUUGCCCGUAUUUCACACACAUUUCUCCACUCUUUCUCUCACUACUUUCUCUCUCUAGCUUCCCUAAACCCUCCUAAACCCUAGAUAAAUCCCCUAUCACCCUAAGGAAGCCCCGAGGCUCCCGGAGUCUCGAGAAAAAGUGUCUUUCGGUUUCGGAAACGCUGCUCCGAGCAAAGCCCAAUUUUCUUUAAAAUCUGCUGUAAGUGAGUUACGCUUAAGCAACUUUUAAUAUAGCUUUCAAAUAAUUAUUGUAAUGUUAUUAGGUCCUUAAAAUAAUUAUUUGGGCUAUUAUUAUGAGUUAUAUUGAGUGUUUAUUAACACUUAUAUAAUAGUAAUAAUAGUUAGACUAUUAAUUUGUCGUGGUUAUCGUUAGACUAAACCCUAGUGGUAUUGAUACUAGGUUUUAUCGAAAGAAAAUUGUUUUGAGAGUAUCGAAGCGCUGUCCGAGUGCUGAGUCACCACCUUUUAGGUGAGUGCAUAGUUACUUUCAGCUUACACAUAGAUAUGAAGUAUUUUAUAUAAAUUACGUGCUAUGUGUGCAUAUUAUCUG
rnacentral:lncRNA from 1 species